GUUCGGUCUCUAUCUGUUGUGGGCGUAGGAUAUUUGCGUGGACCUGUCACUAGUACGAGAGGCCCGUGAUGGACUAACCUCUGGUUUAUCGGUUGUUCCGCCAGGAGCAUUGCCGAGUAGCUACGUUGGGACGAGAUAAGUGCUGAAAGCAUCUAAGUACGAAGCUCUCCACAAGAUUAGAUAUCCUCAUAAGGGUGGUUACAGACGAUGACCUUGAUAGGCUACAGGUGUAAAGGUGGUGACAUCAAAGCCGAGUAGUACUAAUAGCCCGAAAGUUUUGCGCAA
rnacentral:rRNA from 1 species